rnacentral:rRNA from 1 species
AUUGAACGCUGGCGGCAGGCCUAACACAUGCAAGUCGAACGAGCGGCGGACGGGUGAGUAAUGUCUGGGAAACUGCCUGAUGGAGGGGGAUAACUCCUGGAAACGGUAUCUAAUACCGCAUACCCUCAGAUUUGCCCCGAUGGGAUUAGCUUGUAGGUGGGGUAACGGCUCACCUAGGCGACGAUCCCUAGCUGGUCUGUGAGGAUGACCAGCCACACUGGAACUGAGACACGGUCCAGACUCCGACGGGAGGCAGCAGUGGGGAAUAUUGCACAAUGGGCGCAAGCCUGAUGCAGCCAUGCCGCGUGUAUGAAGAAGGCCUUCGGGUUGUAAAGCACUUUCAGCGGGGAGGCGUUACCCGCAGAAGAAGCACCGGCUAACUCCGUGCCAGCAGCCGCGGUAAUAC